GCCCGUGCUGCCAACGUAGCCCGCGCCGCCGCCUCCAACCGUGCGGCUCGGGCCGCUGCCGCCGCUGCCCGUACCGCCUUCAGUCAGGUGGUCGCUAGCCACCGGGUGGCCACGCCGCAGGUCUCAGGAGAGGAUACCCAGCCCACGACCUACGCCGCCGAGGCUCAGGGGCCCACCCCUGAGCCACCCCUUGCUUCUCCGCAGACCUCCCAGAUGCUCCGUGUGCCAGGGAGGUGGACGCCAACCGGCCCAGCACAGCCUUCCUGGGCCAGAAUGAUGUCUUUGAUUUCACUCAGCCGGCAGGUGUCAGUGGCAUGGCCUUCCCGCGCCCCAAGAGACCUGCCCCAGCCCAAGAGGCUGCCACAGAGGGCCCCAGUGCUGCCUCUGGUGUGCCCCAGACGGGACCUGGCAGGGAGGUGGCAGCCACCCGGCCCAAGACCACCAAGUCGGGGAAGGCGCUGGCCAAGACUCGGUGGGUGGAGC
rnacentral:sRNA from 1 species